UACGUAGGUCUCGAACGUUGCGCGAAUUUACUGGGCGUAAAGGGUCCGUAGGCGGUUUAGCAAGUCGAUUGUGAAAUUUCAGGGCUCAACCGUGAAACUGCAUUCGAUACUGCUCAACUUGAGGAAUGGAGAGGACGGUGGAAUUCCCGGUGUAGCGGUGAAAUGCGUAGAGAUCGUGAGGAACACCCGUGGCGAAGGCGGGCCACUGGAACUGUCCUGACGCUGAGGGACGAAAGCUAGGGGAGCAAACGGG
rnacentral:rRNA from 1 species